rnacentral:rRNA from 1 species
AGUGAACGCUGGCGGUAGGCCUAACACAUGCAAGUCGAACGGCAGCACAGUAAGAGCUUGCUCUUAUGGGUGGCGAGUGGCGGACGGGUGAGGAAUACAUCGGAAUCUACUUUUUCGUGGGGGAUAACGUAGGGAAACUUACGCUAAUACCGCAUACGACCUACGGGUGAAAGCAGGGGACCUCCGGGCCUUGCGCGAUUGAAUGAGCCGAUGUCGGAUUAGCUAGUUGGCGGGGUAAAGGCCCACCAAGGCGACGAUCCGUAGCUGGUCUGAGAGGAUGAUCAGCCACACUGGAACUGAGACACGGUCCAGACUCCUACGGGAGGCAGCAGUGGGGAAUAUUGGACAAUGGGCGCAAGCCUGAUCCAGCCAUACCGCGUGGGUGAAGAAGGCCUUCGGGUUGUAAAGCCCUUUUGUUGGGAAAGAGAUCCAGCCGGCUAAUACCUGGUUGGGAUGACGGUACCCAAAGAAUAAGCACCGGCUAACUUCGUGCCAGCAGCCGCCGUAACAC